CAGUAGCCGCGGUAAUACGGAGGGUGCAGGCGUUAAUCGGAAUUACUGGGCGUAAAGCGUGCGCAGGCGGUUCGUUAAGACAGAUGUGAAAUCCCCGGGCUUAACCUGGGAACUGCAUUUGUGACUGGCGAGCUAGAGUAUGGCAGAGGGGGGUAGAAUUCCACGUGUAGCAGUGAAAUGCGUAGAGAUGUGGAGGAAUACCGAUGGCGAAGGCAGCCCCCUGGGCCAAUACUGACGCUCAUGCACGAAAGCGUGGGGAGCAAACAGGAUUAGAUACCCGGGUAGUCCCUGUCUCUUAUAC
rnacentral:rRNA from 1 species